UACGAAGGGGGCUAGCGUUGCCCGGAAUUACUGGGCGUAAAGGGCGCGUAGGCGGAUACUUAAGUCGGGGGUGAAAGCCCAGGGCUCAACCCUGGAAUAGCCUUCGAUACUGGGUAUCUUGAGUUCGGGAGAGGUGAGUGGAACUCCGAGUGUAGAGGUGAAAUUCGUAGAUAUUCGGAAGAACACCAGUGGCGAAGGCGACUCACUGGCCCGAUACUGACGCUGAUGCGCGAAAGCGUGGGGAGCAAACAGG
rnacentral:rRNA from 1 species